rnacentral:ncRNA from 1 species
CGGGCGGUAGACUCCGUCCAAGGCUAAAUACAGGCGAGAGACCGAUAGCGAACAAGUACCGCGAGGGAAAGAUGAAAAGGACUUUGAAAAGAGAGUCAAAGAGUGCUUGAAAUUGCCGGGAGGGAAGCGGAUGGGGGCGCGCGAUGCGCCCCGGCCGUAUGCGGAACGGCUCUCUUGCUGGUGCUGGUCCGCCCGCCGCCGCCGCUCGGGGCUCGGGG